ACGAAUUACCCUCCAACUAUCACGGUCGUCCGAAUUACCCCGAACUAUAAAAUCGGACAUUCUUCACUCCCAACUAUAAAUACCGGACGAAUUACUCCAGUCAUCAUUCUCUUUAUAAAAAAUUAUGGGACCCACCUGUCAUACACUACUCUCUCUUCUCAAUACUCUCUCUCUCUCACUUCUCCAGGCGACGGCGGAUGCGGAGAGGCGAGCGCGGCGGCGAGGCAGCGGCGAGCGCGGCGGAGAGGCGAGAGCGGCGGAGAGGCGAGCGCGGCGGCGAGGCAGAGGUGAGCGCGGCGGAGAGGCGAAAGCGGCGGAGAGGUGAGGAGGCGGCGGCGGAGGAGAGGCGAAAGCGGCGGAGAGGCGAGGCGGCGGCGGAGGAGAGGCGAGAGCGGCGGCGGCAGAGAGGCGAGCGCGGCGGCGGCGGAGGCGAGCGCGGCGGAGAGGCGAGGCGGCGGCGGCGGAGAGGUGAGCUCACGCGAGGCGUUCCGGCCACCGGGGUGGGAGAUUCCGACGACGACGAGGACUAGAUCGUGUCGGUGUCGGAGUCGUACAGCUCCAUGAUCUCCGGUAUGGUGAUGCGGCGGUCGGGGUCGGGCUGGAGGCGAGAGCGGCGGCGAGGCAGAGGCGAGCGCGGCGGCGGGACAGGGCGGCACAGGGGCGGGCUUGAGCGGCGGCAGCGGUGCGGCUGGGUGGCGACUGGCGGCACGAGGCGAGGCGCGCGACUGACCGCCGCCUCGCC
rnacentral:lncRNA from 1 species